rnacentral:rRNA from 1 species
GACGAACGCUGGCGGCGUGCUUAACACAUGCAAGUCGAACGGAAAGGCCCUGCUUUUGUGGUGUUCCCGAGUGGCGAACGGGUGAGUAACACGUGAGUAACCUGCCCUUGACUUUCGGAUAACUUCAGGAAACUGGGGCUAAUACCGCAUAGGAGCCCCUGCUGCAUGGUGGGGGUUGGAAAGUUUCGGCGGUUGGGGAUGGACUCGCGGCUUAUCAGCUUGUUGGUGGGGUAGUGGCUUACCAAGGCUUUGACGGGUAGCCGGCCUGAGAGGGUGACCGGGCACAGUGGGACUGAGAUACGAGCCAGACUGCUACGGGAGGCAGCAGUGGGAAAUAUUGCACAAGGGGCGGAAGCCGGAUGCAGCAACGUCGGGUGCGGGAUGACGGCCUUGGGGGUGUAAACCGCUUUCGCCUGAGACGAAGCGGGGGUGACGGUAAUGGGUAAAGAAGCACCGGCUAACUACGUG